rnacentral:rRNA from 1 species
UACGAGGGAUGCAAGCGUUAUCCGGAAUUAUUGGGCGUAAAGCGUUUGUAGGCGGGCGAGUGUGUUUAAUGUUAAAUCUUAAAGCUCAACUUUGAAAUUGCGUUAAAAACUGCUUGUCUUGAGUAUGGUAGGGGUAAAGGGAAUUCCCAGUGUAGCGGUGAAAUGCGUAGAUAUUGGGAAGAACACUAAACAGCGAAGGCACUUUACUAGGCUAAUACUGACGCUGAGAAACGAAAGGUAAGGUAGCGAAACGGAUUAGAUACCCGUGUAGUCUUACCCGUAAACUAUGGACACUAAACGGUAAAUUUUUAAUUUACUGUUAAAGCUAACGCGUUAAGUGUCCCGCCUGGGGAGUAUGCUUGCAAAAGUGAAACUCAAAGGAAUUGACGGGGGCCCGCACAAGCGGUGGAGCAUGUGGUUUAAUUCGACGGUACACGAAGAACCUUACCAGGAUUUGACAUGCUAGAUAGUUGCUUGAAAGAGUAACGUGCCGUAAGGAAUCUAGACACAGGUGGUGCAUGGCUGUCGUCAGUUCGUGUUGUGAAAUGUUGGGUUAAGUCCCGCAACGAACGCAACCCUUGUCUUUAGUUAUUUUCUAAAGAGACUGCCUGUAAUAAACAGGAGGAAGGUAAGGAUGAGGUCAAGUCAUCAUGCCCCUUAUGUCCUGGGCUACACACGUGCUACAAUGGGAAAGACAAUGAGCUGCAAAUCUGUAAAUUUAAGCAAAUCUCUUAAACUUUCUCGUAGUUCGGAUUGUGGGCUGCAACUCGCCCACAUGAAGUUGGAAUCGCUAGUAAUCGCCAGUCAGCUAUAUGGCGGUG